rnacentral:lncRNA from 1 species
GUGCUGAGCCACUGUGCCCAGCCGAUGGCUGCAAAUUCUGUGCUCCUCUUUCCAUUGAGCGGGGGAGUUUAUUCCUUUCUUAGUACCUGGGCUUGGGCCCAGGACUCACGUGACCCAUGGAACAGAGGUCCAGCUGGUAUUCCAUUGCCUGGCUAUGGCAACUCGUUCAAGAGUGGUUUGGUGACCUGAGUAAGUCCAGUGAGAUUCAGUCCUGGGACUUUUGCUGGAACAACUAGACAAAGAAAACUCCUUUCCAGUUGUGAUGUCCAGCUGGGAAGAUGAUGUGAAUCUGGAGUUCUAAGUACCAGAAGGAUCCUAAGAAUGAAGCCACAGCAGAGGAAGGUGAGUGGGGAGAUGUGCAACAACAGCUAUUGAGGCUGGAUGGUAUCAUAUGGGCCUCUGCAUCAUCAAUGCUGGAAGCCCAGACAACUUGGUUACGUGAGCCAGCUAAUUCCCUUUAUGGCUAUGACAAAUAUUAAAAAGUAGGCUCACUCAACAGCUAUUCUCAAUCCCUCUCCAGCUCUCCUUCCUCUACUAACUACAGAGUCUGAAACCUAAAUUGUUAUUUCCCAGCCUCCUUUGCAGCCAAGGAUGGCCAUGUGACCUUUCUGGCCAACCAGGGUCCCUGGAGAGGGUGGCCCUUCCUGAAUAAAAGGAAAUUCUCAUGAGGAGAAGGCAGUGUUUGGCCCCCUUCCCUGCUGCUUGGAAAGUGGGUGUGAGGCUGGCAGGUGCAGCCAACUUGCAGCUCUCAACGAUACCUAAUGUGGCUUCUAGUCCUUACACUGAAACAUGACUGAUACAAGGACCAAGAAGUGACCGUUGGAUUUAGAAACCUGGACGUCAUACGUAGGGAGAAACGCGGAGUUCUCAACUGAAGCUCAAGGUGGAGAGCGAGAGAAGGAGGCGGAUUCAUGAAAUAUUUCGGAGAGAGGAGCCACGGGGCCCUGAGGGCGGCAGAAGCUGCGGCCGAGAGGAAAAGCACCAAGAACACCGCCCUGCCGGGAACUAGUUUUAAAUCCACGUCCAGGUUUUGUAUGAGCCUCGCUGGAGGAAUAUACGUUCAGGGUAAAUUGUGUUGGUCAAUGGGUACUGUUA